AGAAAGAAGCAAGAGAGAUGGCAUUUAUUUUGGCUCAAGGUUCCACUUCACUGUGGCAAGGAAGAACAGCUACCUUGGAAUGAGCUCUUGUCUGUGGCAGCAGAUCGGAAGCAGCUAAGAUGUGGCGCAAUAGAUGCUGAACAACUCAUGAAGAGACAGGGAUAACUGUUCAAGGCACAUUGCAUAUUGAAAGAAGCCAGUCUGAAGGAGCUGUACACUGCGUGAUUCCUUUUAUACAACAUCUGGGUGCAACACGCAGAAAGAUCAACCAUGCAGAAGCCCAGGAAACACUGCAACCACUUCCAGAACAAGUGGAUAUACAACUGUAGGAAGUGACCAUCCCCAUAGAUUGCACACUUUAUUCCUAGAAUUUUGGGGGGGGAAUUUUAAUUGUCUUUAAUGUUAAUAUUUAACAAGUUAACUAGAGCCUAGUAUUAAGAACAAUGUUACUUUGUGUUUGAAUGAUCUAUUUACAUUGAUCUACACACUAGACUGUAUAAUUAUAUCUGCAACCCUCACACUCAGCCUAGUUUUUGGCAUAAGCAAAUAUAUUUAUACAGAAGGUUAAAUUGAAUGUAAUGAGUCAGAUUUUUCAUGAGUUGAAGAUUAUGAGGAUGUUAUAAUGUUUAUUAAAGUAAAAUAUGUAAUUAUAUAGGUUAACAACUGAGUUUUGUUUCAUGAAUCAGUAUAAAUGUGUUUGAUCUUAAAUAUUUGAGAAUGACUAAAAUUAGUUUUGCUCAUGUAGUGCCUCAGACAAUGGUUCUUACCUUCAAUAAAUUCUUUUGACAUUAUUGACAUGUUUUCU